AAUGGCUCUUAUCGGAGGUGUUCCUGUUUCCUCAUAGCAGGCAGCAAUCAUAAAGAAGCCAAAAUCAUCACUUUUACCGACGGUCGCUGUGCGGCUGCUUCAUAGUCGCUUCAGCAACAUUAAGGAAAAGGACAUUC